rnacentral:tmRNA from 1 species
GCCGUUGGCGAUGAGCGUAAUCCGGACAAAGCGGAACAAGGUCGGACGCGGGGGCAGCGCCCGCCGCCUCCACCAAGACCACACCGGCCAGUGCGGGACACCCGUUUAAGGCCCAAGCCUCUGAUCAAGGUCACUCCCUAAGAUAGGUGGGAGAGCUGCGAAUCCGGUGUGGUCUUGAUGGGGGCGAAACAGGAUCGACGGCCUAGGGAAGUGGCGAACGCGCUCGGGAAUGGCUCCACCCUCAUCGGGCCGAACGGAAAGCUGUCAACGACAACUCU